rnacentral:lncRNA from 1 species
AGCGGCUGUAGUUGGUGGAGUGAUGACGUGCUCCGCAUUUAUUCCAUGUGAUGCAGAAUGGUUAGAAUAAGCAUUUGAAUUACGAUCAUUAAUCUUGUUAUUACAACGCCAUUGAUGUCGACCAAGGGACGCAAAAUCCUUUUCACAAAAUGAACAUAUAACACAGGACAAAAGUAAACAAAUAAAGCUUGAACGGAUCAUAAUUAAUAUUAAUGAAUCCAAAAGUCGUAGAUUGUAGAUCAAGUAAGAAUAUUUCGAUUAAACUUCAGACAUGUGCAAAGCACGUCCUGCUCAGCUCGAUGUCUAAUAAUAAUAAUAAUG